AUUGACCUCACGCGAGUUUAAAAUGUUGCAAAGUAUAUUUCAUCAUCACAUUGAAUUUACUGCAUUGUUUUUAAAAUUUAAAAUUGAUCAAAUAUUAAUCUGAUCAAUGUUCAAAUUAUAAGAAAAAGAAAAUCUGAAGUCUGUUUACACGGGCGGCUAAAAGUUUCAAACCACGCUGGCGCGAGCCGAAAAAAAAUAAUAUGUAGCCCACGCGGCACGAAGCCACGAACCGCAGUUGCAAUUAUGAACCUCCCCUUGCUAGUCGUCGUGGCCUAGCUUCACCUCGCCGCCACAGACCAACCCUCACCUUAUCCGCCUCCACCCCUCACCGCCCCCACCACCUGAACUAGCUUCAGAUCGGCUCCACCCCUCCCCUCUCCACUCCACAACAGCCAUGGCUGGAGGCUGAUGGAGACGUUUUUCACCUCCCCCAUUUCUAUCCUCCCGUAAAAAUCAAGUCCACCCAGCCAGAUCCCGUCUCUCACCAGUUCUGGCGGCGGCGUGCAGCACCCGGCGAUCUAAGAAACAGUACUGCUAGCAGUAGUGGCGGACAAUGGCGAGCAGCAGCGCAAGGAGCGGCGAUGCGGCUGAUGGGCGAGCUGUGGACCGGGCUGCUCGUCGAGCGGUGGCGCGUGUGGAUGGCUGAGCGACAACGCAGGCUGAAGGAUUCUAUUCUGCUGUGUUCUCCUUCUCAUGAAGGGUAAAGGAGGUGGGAGAUCCAUAUCGCUAGCUUCAUCCAAUGUCAAAUCCAUGUACCAGGCAAGCGGCCAAGAAUGCCUUCUCCCUGCCCGGCUAGAAGUUGGAUCCUUCCAAGAGGGAACCUCUCAGGAUUUUCUACGAGUCACUGUCCAAAAAGUACAUAUAUGUUUUCAUUCAUCUGAUUUUUUUUUUUAAAUUUGACAGAGGGAACCUCUCAGAAUUUUCUACGAGUCACUGCCCAAAAAGAUCCAAUCCAGUGAGAUGGCCGACUUCAGGGGGGUGGGAAGCAAUAUUGGAGGCGGUCUGAGUCAUGACAAUAAUCAUUCCAUUAAUGAUGAUGACGAUAACACCUAUGACAUCAAGGCAGGGGAUAUCUCGUGCCAUAAACAUUAUGAUCCAUAUGGCGAUGAAUGAGAUACUAACUCUGGCGAUGAUGGUGACUAGUUUAACAAUCUUAUUCAAGGCACGCAACAAAGCGAAGUUUUGAAGAUUGAGGGCAAUUUAGCUUAUGCAAAUUGCCUGAACCAUUAUAUCAUGCAUAGUUACUAUUUUGUUUUGCAUUCUACAUUCCCUAGAUGGAUCGCUAGGGUUAAUGUAAAUCGUAUGGAACUCAUUAGGCUUGUAGUACUUUCUUAGAUAUGCAAAAUAUAAUAUAUGUUUUUGGGUCA